GCCCGCUCAGAAAUCAAAGGAAUUGACGGGGGCCCGCACAAGCGGUGGAGCAUGUGGUUUAAUUCGAUGAUACGCGAGGAACCUUACCUGGGCUCAAAUGUAUGUUGACGUAUUCUGAAAGGGAUACUUCUUCGGACAAUAUACAAGGUGCUGCAUGGUUGUCGUCAGCUCGUGCCGUGAGGUGUCGGGUUAAGUCCCGCAACGAGCGCAACCCCUGCAUUCAGUUGCCAUCGGGUGAAGCCGGGCACUCUGGAAGGACUGCCAUCGACAAGAUGGAGGAAGGUGGGGACGACGUCAAGUCAUCAUGGCCCUUAUGUCCAGGGCGACACACGUGCUACAAUGGCCGGCACAACGGGAAGCGAGUUCGCGAGGACGAGCGGAUCCCUUAAAGCCGGUCGCAGUUCGGAUUGAAGUCUGCAACUCGACUUCAUGAAGCUGGAAUCGCUAGUAAUCGCAGAUCAGCCAAGCUGCGGUGAAUACGUUCCCGGGCCUU
rnacentral:rRNA from 1 species